GACGAACGCUGGCGGCGUGCUUAACACAUGCAAGUCGAACGGAAAGGCCCUGCUUUUGUGGGGUGCUCGAGUGGCGAACGGGUGAGUAACACGUGAGUAACCUGCCCUUGACUAUGGGAUAACUUCAGGAAACUGGGGCUAAUACCGGAUAGGAGCUCCUGCUGCAUGGUGGGGGUUGGAAAGUUUCGGCGGUUGGGGAUGGACUCGCGGCUUAUCAGCUUGUUGGUGGGGUAGUGGCUUACCAAGGCUUUGACGGGUAGCCGGCCUGGGAGGGUGACCGGCCACAUUGGGACUGAGAUACGGCCCAGACUCCUACGGGAGGCAGCAGUGGGGAAUAUUGCACAAUGGGCGGAAGCCUGAUGCAGCAACGCCGCGUGCGGGAUGACGGCCUUCGGGUUGUAAACCGCUUUCGCCUGUGACGAAGCGUGAGUGACGGUAAUGGGUAAAGAAGCACCGGCUAACUACGUG
rnacentral:rRNA from 1 species